AGGACUGGGCCGCGUGGCGGGGACCAUGGUUUUGAGUGCAGCACGGGUAGCCGUCGACCGCGAGAGUGAGGGGGAAGAGGGAAUUGGCGCCGGAGGUGCCACCGGUGACAGAGGGCGAAAUUUUUCCCUUCAAGAUAUGUGAUGCAAACGUCCUAAAACACAUGCGUAAACAGCUGUCAGCCCAUCUCCUUCACUGCUGAUUUGUCUUGAUGUAUAUGUUUGGGCCGGAGGAAUGGUGUUUCUGCAAGUUUGGCUGAUUUUCACUGAAAUAUGCCAUGAAAAUUAGCUGGUGUUCGUGUGCAAGCUUUGAUUGAUUUUGCUUUGCCAAUUUGACUGGUUUAUAGCUAUGAACUUCCCAAAGGCAUAGCCUAAGAGAAUGAUGCAACUGGGAAUGAAAACAAGCAUGGCAAUUCAUACCACAGUCAUGGGGUUUUGCACAAUCACUUGCUCGCGUUUACUAUAUUACACCAAGCUCAUAUCCUCUCACGUCAACCAAGCUCGGCAUGACCAAGCCCUUGCUAUUUUCCACCACAUCCAGUCCUCCCUGGCAAUGCCCCUUGAUCCCCAUGUCUUUUCUCUCAUCCUCAAGUCCUGCACUGCCAUUAACUGUCCCCAACUUGGCACUGCAAUUCAUGCUCACGUCACCAAAGUUUCUUUCAUAUCUAAUCCUUUCAUUGCAAGCACUCUAAUUGACUUAUAUGGCAAGUGUGUCUCACUCUCUAUAGCACGCCAACUGUUUGAUGAAAUUCCCAAAAGAAAUGGUGUUGUUUGGAAUACGAUGAUAUCCCUUUAUACACAUUCUCAUGAUGUAGCUAGUGCUUUACAGCUGUUUGAUGUCAUGGAUAUUAUGCCCAGUGAAUCUACUUUUAAUUCAAUUAUAGCUGGCUUGGCAAGGUUAGAUGGCCGGUCGUUUGAGGCUAUAGCAUUCUACCAACGAAUGCACCAACUAGGAUUGAGACCUCAAUUAAUAACACUUCUUUCUCUACUGCCGGCUUCUGUAGGUGUAACAGCUCUGAAUUUGAUUAGAGAGAUUCAUGGUUAUGCAAUAAGGAAUGACAUUGACUCACAUCCUCAAUUGAGCAGUGGUCUCGUGGAGGCAUAUGGGCGAUGUGGUUGCCUCUUUAAUGCACAUUCUAUAUUUUGGAGUAUGAAGGAAAAAGAUGUAGUUGCUUGGAGCAACAUCAUAUCAGCAUAUGCACUUCAUGGGGACGCAAAAUCUGCGCUAGAAAUUUUCCAUAAAAUGGAACUGGCACAAGUGCGGCCAGAUGGUAUCACAUUUCUUGUUGUAUUAAAAGCUUGUAGCCAUGCAGGGUUAGCUGAUGAAGCAUCCUAUUAUUUUAAGAGAAUGUGUGAAUAUUAUGGCAUUGAAGCAAAUAGUGAUCACUACUCUUGUUUAAUUGAUGUUUUGAGUAGAGCUGGAAGGUUAUAUCAAGCGUAUGAGGUUAUACAAGAGAUGCCAAUAAAGGUGACUGCGAAAGCAUGGGGUGCUCUUCUUGGGGCUUGUCGAACUUAUGGAGAGGUUGAGUUGGCAGAGAUAGCAGGAAGAGCUUUAUCAGAGGUUGAGCCAGAUAAUGCUGCCAAUUAUGUUUUAUUGGCAAAAAUUUAUGCUAGUGUGGGGAGACAUGAGGAAGCUGAGAGAAUGAGAAUGAAAAUGAAUGAGCGAGGAGUAAAGGCAGCAAUUGGCAGCAGUUGGGUUGUAGAUUCAGAGUGAUGACAUUCUAUCUAUAUUAUUCCUAUUGGCCACCCUAUUUUUGUUACAUUGUUGAUAUCAGAGCCAUGGUCAAUGUUUUGAUUCCAGAAAGACACUUUGCAGAAGGCAUGUGUUGGGAGGGAUAGGGAUAUUGUUUGUAGGCCAACAUUCUACCUUGGCAAGGCGUGGGAACCUUGGAAAAUACAAAAUAGUAGAGGCUUUAUUUCAUCCUGGUCUGAGAGUAACAAGUCUGAGCCCACUGCAAAGUCACAUUCCUCUCGGGGGAAUUUCUCUAAUCGCUGUUGUUUCAUCUCCAAACCUGUUCAUCCUCCGUCCUUUUUGACCUUGCUCUGCUAGGGAGGCCUUAGGACCUGCAGUCACAGGCAUUACAGAGUUUGAUGGUUCCAUUCUGAUCACAGGUGCUCAUCGUUGCAGUAGUACUAGCAGCAGUCUUGAUUAUGUUCCCACUUAUUAGUUACUUAUUUAAGCACGAUUGUGUAAUCUCUCUUAUGUUUGGAGCAGCUUUUUGUCUCUCUGGCUUUUAAUCAAAAGCUGCUUAAUUUUGUGCGUUUGUGAGAAGCAAACUCCGCCUACUUUUUGCUUCUUCUUUGUUUUUUUUUUUUUUUGCUAAAGCAUAUUGGAGGCAAUCCUAUUCAAGAU